CCCAGCUGCUCAGAAUUUAUAAACCAGGCCUUUUCCCUAUGAACAGAGCAACAUCAGACAGGCUGGGGGAGCAAGAUGGAGUCACAGACCCAGGUCCUCAUGCUGCUCCUGUUCUGGGUGUCUGGUAGCAGUGGGGACAUCGUGUUGACCCAGUCUCCAUCCUCCCUGGCUGUGUCAGUGGGAGAGAAGGUCACCAUCAGCUGCAAGUCCAGUCAGAGUCUUCUAAACACUGGAAAUCAAAAGAACUACUUAGCCUGGUACAAGCAGAAACCAGGGCAAUCCCCUAAACUGCUGAUCUACUUGGCAUCCACUCGGUACACUGGGGUCCCUGAUCGCUUCACAGGCAGUGGAUCUGGGACAGACUUCACUCUCAGCAUCAGCAGUGUGCAGGCUGAAGACCUGGCAUUUUAUUACUGCCUGCAGACUUACAGCUAUCCUCCCACAGUGGUUCAGCCUCCAACACAAACCUCCUUGAGAGUCUCACCAGCUGUCUGCACCACAUACAGCCCUGGGCCUGCACACUUCCCUCUUCUGUGUGAUAGCAGGUGUGUUUAA